AGAGUUUGAUUCUGGCUCAGAACGAACGCUGGCGGCAUGGAUUAGGCAUGCAAGUCGAACGAAGCAGCAAUGCUUAGUGGCGCAAGGGUGAGGAACACGUGAGUGACCUACCCGCAAGUUUGGAACAGCUCCUGGAAACGGGAAUUAAUACCGGAUGUGAUCAACGGGCUGCAUGGUUUGUUGAUUAAAGCAGUAAUGCGCUUGCGGAUGGGCUCGCGUCCCAUUAGCUAGUUGGUGAGGUAACGGCCCACCAAGGCCAUGAUGGGUAGCUGGUCUGAGAGGACGACCAGCCACACUGGGACUGAGAACUGCCCAGACUCCUACGGGAGGCUGCAGUCGAGAAUUUUGGGCAAUGGACGAAAGUCUGACCCAGCAAUGCCGCGUGCGGGAUGAAGGUCUUCGGAUUGUAAACCGCUGUUUGGAGGGACGAAAAUUGACGGUACUUCCAGAGGAAGCCACGGCUAACUACGUGCCAGCCGCGGC
rnacentral:rRNA from 1 species